GACGAACGCUGGCGGCGUGCCUAAUACAUGCAAGUCGAACGAGUGGCGGACGGGUGAGUAAUGUCUGGGAAACUGCCUGAUGGAGGGGGAUAACUACUGGAAACGGUAGCUAAUACCGCAUACUAUCAGAUGAGCCUAGGUCGGAUUAGCUAGUUGGUGGGGUAAAGGCCUACCAAGGCGACGAUCCGUAACUGGUCUGAGAGGAUGAUCAGUCACACUGGAACUGAGACACGGUCCAGACUCCUACGGUAGGAAGCAGUGGGGAAUAUUGCACAAUGGGCGCAAGCCUGAUGCAGCCAUGCCGCGUGUAUGAAGAAGGCCUUCGGGUUGUAAAGUACUUUCAGCGGGGAGGCGUUACCCGCAGAAGAAGCACCGGCUAACUCCGUGCCAGCAGCCGCGGUAAUUC
rnacentral:rRNA from 1 species